UACAGAGGGUGCAAACGUUGUUCGGAUUUACUGGGCGUAAAGCGCGUGUAGGCGGCUUUGCAAGUCGGAUGUGAAAGCCCACGGCUCAACCGUGGAAGUGCAUCCGAAACUGCAUGGCUGGAGUCUCGGAGAGGAAGGUGGAAUGCAUGGUGUAGAGGUGAAAUUCGUAGAUAUCAAGCAGAACACCUGCGGCGAAGGCGGCCUUCUGGACGAUGACUGACGCUGAGACGCGAAAGCGUGGGGAGCAAACAGG
rnacentral:rRNA from 1 species